AGUCCUGCGUCCUGGGCUGUCAGGGAGAGCAGAGAUGGGGAGGCCGCGGGGGCUGUCCUGGGUAAUCCAGAUAAUGCACGUGUGGGUGGCCAGCGGGCAGCUCUUUGUGGAACAGAGCCCGGAGUGGCGGGGUGUCUCCGAGGGGCAGAAUGGCACCGUGACCUGCACUUACUCCAGCGCCAUCAACAGUUUACACUGGUACCGUCAGGCUCCUGGGGAGCGGCCCCUUUUCCUGCUGAUGCUGCACGGCAAGGGGAGCGAGACACAAGAACCGAAUUUCACUGCGGAUCACGAUCCGGGGCAGAAGCGGAGCUCCCUGCACAUCCGCGGCUGCCAGCUGGGGGACACCGCCAGCUACCUCUGCGCCGUGGAGACACAGUGACACAGGGCGCAGCGCAGCCUGUCCAAUAACUCUGGGUGUUACCCAGGAGGGGCUGCGGGGUGCUGGGGGCACAGGGCAAGGUGGGACAGAGCCCCGUGGGGAGACGGGAACAGGCGUUUAUAGCCCCGCUGAGGGGGUGGCGCUGGCUCCCUGGUUAGGGCGAUGGGAGGGGACCGAGGUAACGUAGUUUCAGUUCCCAGCUCUGCCAGAGGCGGUUUGACCUGGGCCAUGAAGGCAGCAUUGCCCCAGGAAGAGGUAGAUGCCCAAGUCCUCCCCGCUCGUGUCCGGGGUCUGGCGUGGCUGGGAACUUCUCUUGGCUGCCGUAUCCACUCCCAGCUGGGUGUUCUAUGGCCUCCAGGCGCCAGUCAAGCUAUUCAACAGCUCACUUCCCUUUCUGGGCUAACAAACGGGGCAACUUCAAGUCCAAAGCAAGUAUCCAAAUAGCUUUUCUGCCCCUGCCUGGGUCCACUGAAGUCCUCUGCUUCUUGGCCCCAGCUUCCUCCUCUCUCUUCUUGCCCAGCAUAAUGUCCAGCUGCUUCCCUUCGCCAAGGACUCCAGCAGUUCCUUCGCCAGGGACUCCUCGCUUUUGUCAUGCCCUAUCUCAGGGACCCCCUCUCUCCCCACAGGAACCUACCCUACUGUCUAUGGGUGACAACCUGACAACCACAUGCUCUUCCCACACAGGGCCUCCCCUCACACCUCUCUCCGGGACCUUCUCUCCUUUAAC